ACGUAGGGGGCGAGCGUUAUUCGGAAUCACUGGGUGUAAAGGGUAUGUAGGCGGCCCUUUAAGUCGCGUGUCAAAGCCCAGAGCUCAACGCUGGGAGUGCACGCGAUACUGACGGGCUUGAGGGCUGGAGAGGUGAGCGGAAUUCCCGGUGUAGUGGUAAAAUACGUAGAGAUCGGGAGGAACACCGGCGGCGUAGGCGGCUCACUAGACAGUUUCUGACGCUAAGCUACGAAAGCGUGGGGAGCAAACAG
rnacentral:rRNA from 1 species